rfam:Schizosaccharomyces japonicus yFS275 unplaced genomic scaffold supercont5.1, whole genome shotgun sequence.
GCUCCCGUGGCCUAAUUGGCUAGGGCAUAUGACUUCUAAUCAUGGGAUUGUGGGUUCGAGUCCCGCCGGGAGCU